CGAGCGGGGGAUGGGCCGUGCCGGCCCCGGGAGCGCAGCCCCCGCUUUCCCCACACCCUGCACCCGAGAUUUCUGCCCCGGCGGGGAGACCAACGCGGCGCGCACACACAGCGUCUCUUAAAGGCUCCGCGAGAGGCUUUGGAUGGGAUCGAGGACUUCGCCUGUCGCAACUUGGCGAUGCCACGAAAUCCGCCGCUCGCGCACCACCCGGGACUCCCGGCGCAUCUUGCUGCCCACAAUGCCAAAGAAAGAGAAAAGUUCCCUGGUUUCUUUGCAGAGGGUAGGGGGUGGGAAGGUGCCACGAACUGAGCUUGCAAGCAUUUCCAAAAGAAAGAUUUGGCCAAACCCGGGAGAUGGUAAACCCUUCUCUUAAUCAACUCUGAUCACUUGCUCGGUUUGAUGGCUCACUUUCUUGUUUCUUUUUUAGAGGAAAAAAGUCGUUUAGCGUUUGUCUUUUCCUUGUAGGGUUAACAUUUCACAGGUAUGUGGCCUGACAUUUUAAUUGCUCAAAUAAAGCAUCUCGGAUGCUGAGAAGCAGAAGUAGACUUCAUCUCAUUGUCAUGACGCAAUUAAAAUCAAUUUUCCUCAACUUUAUCCUCUCUCUUUGGUUUUAGCUAACUCUCAAGCCAACAUCCUGCCACACACCCAGUCAUGGUGAGAGGGAAAAGACUUCUGCCUGCUGAUGGACAGGCGGAGGCAGCCGCCAAGCCUCCCCUGUGCACACCCUCUGUACACACAUGUAAGCGCACAUGUAUCAGAUGCACAUUUGUCAAUGUACACAGACAAAGACUUCAGCGACUAUGCUUCUAGGUCAUAGAACAGUUGAGUACAGACCUCAUUGUUCUUCAAGUUCCUUUUAAGCAUUCAUAUAGUCAUUAAAACACACCCAGAGAUUCUGCCCCAAAUUGGAAAUAAUACCAGUACAAGUCACAAGAACUACACACAAGCCAUAUUCUAUCUCAAGAGAGUCACUGCAAAAAGAACAACUUCAUAGCCUAUGUCAUUCUGCUCAAUGUGCUAAAAUCAUUGAUACACUUGGGUCUUUGAAUUCCAGGAUGUUUGGUUUUAAACAUCAAACAGGUAGAAUUGCCUGCAGAGCACACUAUAUUCCAAUGCAGUAAACUUGCUAUUUGAUUAUGACCAGUUAGUGGACUAUUAUUAUUCCACAUUUAUACAAGAAAAUUAUGUCUCCCUUAUACACACUUAGCACCAAGAAAAACUGUAAGCCGGCAAGCCAACCAGGUUUAUGAACAAUUAAAACAUUGCACAGAAAAGAUGCUGAGCUCCAGGGAAAAAAAUGAACAAGUAUAAAGAGUAAAUUGACAACUACAGAAAAGCAUCCUUGGUAGCUGAGAAAUUGAAAAGAUAGAGGUAUUUUUAAAAAUAAACUAUACAUAUAAUUGACAUGUGUAGAUUGCAGUUUUGCAUUUAAUUCUUUUUACACACAUUGGCAGAAUAAGAAGGAGGCACGAAGUGCAGAUAUGGGCACAUAGGGGCUGGUUUUUAGGAAAAGAAAAAUCCUCUUUAAGCUUCACCCCCGAAACAACCUAAGCCCUCACUCUUUCUCCGCGGAAAUCAUAUUUCACUAAAGCUGCAGGUGCUGAGAUUUUUUGAAAGUUGUAAAAAAACUCACACACACACACACAAAAAAACAAUCCUAUAGUGGACACUGAACUAUCAUAAACCUAGUGUGUAAUAAAAUUGCCACAGAGUGAAGCCAAACUGAGAAUUUCAGGUUGAUAAAAGACACAAUAUAACUUUCUCCUGAAGAGGACAAGAAGGAGGGAAAAGAAAUCAUUUCAAAGGGGAAGGUUUUGAGUUUUGUUUGUUUGUUUGUUUCCUUUCAACCUCUUUGAUUCAGGAAUUGCCUAAUGCUACAAAUGUCAGUGGAUUAGGGCAAGUUCAGCAGAGAUGUGGUAAGGCUGGGGUUGAGAUAGGAAAUCUAAUGGACAUUCCCAUCUCAAUUUAGUAGAAGAUGAAAAUAAUUGAUUAUAGGGAAAUCAUAAUCUUGCCUCUUGAGUGGGGAGACUUCCAUAGCAAGAUUACCUUUUAUAAACAUUCGAAGUGGCAAUUUUGAGAAGGAAGAGCUUCCCCACUCCAUGUAGAGGUUUUGAGAAUUUAAAGUAUGCUCUGAUCGCUUAGAUUGAAAAUGAAGAAUUUCCCAACCACCUCUUACAGAAUUGGAGCCUGCUAGGAAACCGAUCACAGGGCUGCCAUGAAAUUAGAGGUGUUUCACUCUGUAUUUUAGGACUCAUUCAGUUAUGAAAAUGCUGUUACAAAAGGGGAAAAAAAUCACUGUGUAAAUUGUAGUUAAGUUUACUGCAUAGAAAAAGAGAUAGGAUUAAAGACUGAGAAGAAAAAAAAUAUUUUUAAAUGUCUUCUUCAGAGAUGCUCAUUUGCUGUGACUCUAAGAUUAAAAAGCUCUCAGACUAAAAGAUAAAUAUCAAUAUAUUGUUAUUGUUAAAAAAAAACCAGCUCAGUCUUUUAUUGCAGAUGUAAAUUUAUUUUAAUGAGGGGAAUGGUAAGUUUUAAUUUGGCUAGAGAAAGUUGGACAAACAUUUAUCCUAAUCUGGAAAAAAUAAAAAAAGAAAGAAACUAAAAACUAAACACCCAGGAAUAUAAUUUUCUUGUAGAAAGUGUCCUGAUGGGCUGUAAUUCUUUACAGAUUAAAUCACAAUAUGAAUACAGACCCCAGCAAAUGCCGAGUUUAACUCUGAACUCAGUGGAAACCAGUUCCAUCCUCCAGGAUUCAUUGAAUUCCUCCUAUCCCUCAAUCUAGUCCGUGUGUGUUUUUCUCUUCCACCACACUGGAGCUCCAUGAAUAGGGAAAGGGGCUUCCAUUGUGUCCCUCUGAACUUCCAAGUCAAUGCAAUUUUUAACCACUGGCUUGUGGUACUUUGAAAAUCACCAGGGGCUGUCAGAGUUGGGUCCUCUGAAAAAUUUACAGUGCUAAAUCAGAGCAUAUGCUGGGAGGGAAAAAAUUGCUUAAGAUUGGAGCAAGUACAGUAUCUGUCUGCCCCCUAGUGUAAGAGUCCUCGCUGCCUAAAAUUCAACUUUAAAAGAAAAGGAGCUCUUAAAGGGAAACGACUUUGGGCUCACGUAGGCAUAGGAGAAUGAAACUUCUGUACAUUUUAAUCUGAAUAAUUCUUCAGGAUUUAAAAUUAAUUGGCUCUGGCUUGGUUGGACCGUACUCGGAUCUCGCCACCUCUGCGUUUCCCGAGUCACUGGCGAGGAGAUUUUUCUCUCCUUUCCUUGGAAGGCAAAGAAGAGAGUGGGUUUGCUGCUCUAAACCCUGUGACUUAAGAGUCAUCUAAUGCUCUGGGUUCGGAGAAGAAUCGCCAAAGUAGCUUCUAACUAAGAAAGUCAAUGACCUUCUGAGAAUCGCCAGCCCUGCAAAGCGAAUAAGAAGGUUCAGAUGUCCUAUACAACGUCUAGUAUCCCGAGCAGGUAGAGCGUGUGACUUGUGACUUCAUGCUCACGGGGAAGAAGUUCACAAGGCUGCUGUGGGAGGGGCUGAGAAAGAGAAGAGGAAAGGGGAACCCUAUGCUAAAGUUUGGCUGGGAAUUUUAUGCAAAUAAAGAAAUAAGGUCUCCAGUAAUUGCCUGUUAUUAAGGUGCAGACUGUAGCUAAUGCUGUGUUUAAAUCAGUUCAAUGCCAAGUUCUUAGCACAGUGAACCACCUGCUUUCCAUAUACUGCCCACGGGGGCGGUGUGUGAGAGGUUUUCCUUCAUGCAGCGCCAUCAGAGAAGGUAGUGGACAACAAUCCAUAUUUAAAAGGAAGAGAGAAAAAGCCCAGGUACGUUUCAAUGGAAAUCCUUUUAAGGCAUUUCAAAAAGGAGUCUGAGAAAUAAUCACGAAGUUUAAGAAAAGAGAAAAUCUUAACUUUGAUCUUAUUUUCUUCUGCAAAGCAAUUUGGUACCUGAUUUUUUUCAAGCGCUAAACCACAAAUUCUAAUGGCUGGACCUGAAUGUUUUCAUUUACAUCUUGGGACUUCUGAUCUCCCCAAAAAAGUUUUAAAAAAAUUAUUAAAGUGAUUUAUUUCCAGAGAGAUUAAUACAUAAAGCAUUUGCUGGUCAGCUCUCAUAAAAGCUACAGCAUCAUAGAAUAGCUGGGAUUACAUGCUAGGUUUAAAUCAUGGGAGGGCUCAGUUAAUAUCAGCGCCUAAUUAAGAAAUCUGUAAAGUUGAUUUGAGGGAGAAAAAUUCUAUCAAGAUGUGAUUGGAAUUUUCCCUUCCAAUUGCUGUUGGGGAUUUUAAGGGGAAUGUAUCCUACAUGGACGUUGGUAUUCACAGGACUAGUUCUCAAAUUAAAACGGAGCUUCAGAGGAGAGCAUAGGGACAAACUAAUUUACCUGAAGGGUAGCAAAGGAGGUUCUUACCUAAAAAUAAAUGUGAUAAAUUGAGCCUCAAUGUUAGAUUGCACUGGUCCUUAGUUAUUUAAACCUGAAAUCCUUCAUAGUUCAUCUAUAUGAAUGUUAGACUGUCAUCCCCUUGCAGGUAGAUAAGAAGAAUUGUUCUUUUUUUGUGUUUGCAGGCAUGUGUUUCUUAGUACAUAAUAGAUUCCCAUUAAAUGUUUAUGAAAUUGCAGAAUUAGAACACUCUGGUAAUUUUUUAAAAAGGUUCUUGCAGAGCAUAGUGCCGUGUUGUGGCCUGUCGUAUCUCUAAUAACUAGAUUGAUUAGCCAGGCGUGCACCAACUAGGAAGCAUGGCAGAGGCAGCCGGCAGGCUAACUUUGGCCAGGAUGUGUGUGCUCUUUAAAACCUGAGAAGCUUCAACUUCGCAUAACAAUAUGGAUUUCUGGAUUCUUUUUGUAGUAUCUGAAGUCAUGGUGCUGUUUGGUUCAGAGCUGCACACAGUGACACUUAGUCAGGGGCCUGGGAGUAACUGUCCCCGUUAGAUAGGAUUCCUUCACAGGCCACCGCUGUUAUUAAUAAACAGGGUAGAUUGGGCCCCCAUGUUAGGUCGCAUUCUCAGUUGGUUAGACGGACUGAAUUCUCUUGCAUCUGACUCCAGGUUUCACUUUCUUAUUUUCCAGGCUUGUCUACAGGAUAGGCCCGCAGGAUUAGGAGAGGCUAUUUGGUGUACAUUUUGUUGCUGUUGGAUUUGAAUGAGUUAAAGAUCUAGGUGUGAGCUUAAUUGUUUUCUCCAGCCCCAGGAAAAGAGAUGGAGAGAUUGUCCCAGUUCCCCCGGGAAAUGGUCCUGUAUGCAUCAUCUUCACCCUGGUGACAGGCAGUUAAAUCUCUGGCCUUCAUGGGACCGCUGGACAUCUGGCAGAAACCCAGGAAACCGCUCGUUCCCUCUGUGACUUCACUCAGCCAGAAAACUACCAGAAUGUUCUUUACAGCACAGUUUGAGAGAGGUCCUUUCUGUAAUAGCUUAACCAUUGAUUAAGCAUAGUUUCUUUAAUGUUGUCUACCAACAUAUGAGGAGGACUAUAAAGUGAAAAAAAAAGCAUGGUGUACAUCACCAGGAAUCAAAGAUUGUGCCUGGCCAUGUAAUUGACUCCAUAACACAGAGAAAAACUUUUCAAGCUCCUGACGCAGCUGCUGUCUGCAGACCCCCUGUACUGCCCGGGGAAGUGAGUCGGAACUCCUGCAGCAGAUGAGCAGAUGAGCGGAACAGCCACAAGAAGAUCUGAAGGUGGCCAAAAAUAACAGCGCUUUCCAGAUGAGGGUGAUAUUAUAGCCAAGAUCAUCACCGGGGAACAAGUGGCCCGGCACAGCGUCACAGGACAGUGGGGCCCAGUGCACACAAUACCUGGCAUCUCCACUAGAUACAGCCUUGACAUCUUCAUGGUGAGGCUUGCUCUAAUCCAAGGACUUCCAGGUGGGGGUUGCUAUUCGGAUACUAACCUUUAUUUGCUUAUGGAUGCUAUCCCGAAGAAGUCAAGACGGAUGCCCUUCUCUAAUGAGACUGUCUAGCAGGCAGAGAGACACUCUUUCCUGGCAUCUGGUUGUCACACGGUGUCCUUCAGCCUCUCUUCUGGACAAGCUGGACCAAUCAUUUUGGAGGAAAGAUGUCUUUGGUCUACAAUAUGAUAUUUGAUGAAGAAAAAGAUCAACCUUGUGAAGAAAGAACCACUUCCUAAACCUACUUGAUGUGUGAAUAAAUCAAGGUUCAGAGAAGGAAAAUCACUUGGUUGCCCCUUCAAGCCAUGGAGUAUCAUGGACACCAAUGGGAUAGUGAGUUGGAUGCUGAGGGUGCCCUGAGAUCUCUAAGGAUUGAGCUAGAGCUAAAGGAGCAGAGAAAGCGAAUGUCAGCCUCUUCUCAAGGUCUGAGAGAUGACAGCAGAUUUUUGUCUGCAGAAGAAAACCUUUCAUAUAUCUUCAUCAUGAUGUGGUCCAUGUAAGGCCCAUCUGCUUCUCCUGAUCACGGUGUCCCUGAAAUGGGAGGCAGUCACAGCCGAUGAGCUUCUGCAUCUGUCCAGCCAGGCUUUUCAGUGCCUCAGCAGAUACUAACAGUGCAUACAGGGUCCAUGGAUCUCAUGAUGGGAAAUGCCACUUUAGGGUAGAGGUGGCUGACAGCAGUCUUCAGAAAGUGAGUGGAUUCUGUUUCAUAAAGGUAACUUUGGGCACCUUGGAGGAAGAAUGCCAAUGGUGACAAACUGGACUCAAGGCAACCUAUACCCAGGGUGCUAAAAUCUUCUGGGCGAAAGAAGGCCAGAAUUAGGCAGUGAAAAUAGAAAGCAGAGGAUAGAAUCGAGAGGUAGAAUGGACACUUUGUAAACACAUAGAGGGCAAAUGAAGGGAAAAAAAACAAAAGAUUUGAAAGUGACUCCCAAAUUUCAAGUUGGGAAGCUGGGACAAUGAAGAAUCAUGUUGGGUAGAAGAUGAGAAAUUUAACUUAAUUCGGAACAUGUUAUAAUUGGCCUGUCUGUAAGCCAUGCAGAGACAGCUGGUCAACUCACAGCCAACAACUGGUGACAGUAAUCUGCAGCUCAGAGCACAUACCAACAUCAUUUCAUCUUUCUGUUUUGUUUCAGGUGACUCUUUCUCUUGCAGGGUCUUGGGGGUGAUCGUAAUUAAUAUCAAGUGUUGUUUGGCCAUAAAUGUCCAAAAAGGCAGGCUAUAGAGAGUUGUGUUUAAUAGAAAGCUGAAUACAAAUUAUUCAUUAACUAUAUUCAUUGAGAGGCUAAUAUGUACCUAGCACAGCAGCAAUACAUAGGGAAAAGCAAACAAAUAAACAAACAAGCAAAAAAAAAAAAGGAAAAAUAAAAAAGACACAAAACUUGCUCAAUUUGCUUAUUAUCUUAAGCCUACAGAAGAUAAUACAAGUGGUCAGAUGACCAAUGUCACGAUUUUGACCUUUCAUUUGCAAUGUGACCUGGGGCAAAUUACAUAACUUUUGAAAGCUUAGGUUUUCUCAUUUGUAAAAUAUCAUUUGUAGACUAUUAUUAAUAGUAUCUUUCUCAUUAAGGAGUUGUGAAGUUUAGCUAGAGUUAAAUAAAAAAUUAUUUACUGCAUUUUGAACGUAUAAAAUAAAUUUCUUUAGGAAAUAAUGUAUGCAUUGUGAUCUAUUUAAUACACUUUACUAUUAUUAACACUUUAUUUGGUUUCCAGUUAAUACCAAAUAAUAAUCUGUUUAUUUGCAUUGCAAAAAUAAAGCUGGUUUGAAUUAAAGAAGUGUGAAAAAUUCUUGAGUUGGCAAAAUAUGUAGCACUUCCAUCAAUUAAAAAUAGGUAAAAUGUGUUAAAAAUAAUGAAAAGUUCAUACUUUAAUUGAGCUGGCUUUUUUCAUAAGCCUAUAUUUUUAUGAAGCUUAAUGAAACAAAAAUUGAAAUGUUGCCCAUUAUGAAAUCUGUGUUAAUUGUUAUUAUUCCCAUAAAGGUCACAUGAUUUAAAAAAGUUUUGCAGUUAUGCCAACUAGAAAUGCACACUACUUGCCUUUCAUUUUCUCUGGAUUUAUUUUUGGUAAUAAAGGCUAAUAUUCACCUUGGCAAACAGAGCAUUUGCUAAAGUGAAAACUUCCUUUAAACACACUAGAAACUUUUGACAUAAGAUUGCCAAAAUUGCAGGGUAUUUUUGUGAAUCUGACAAAACUCUCUUUGUUCUUCCUGGCUUCAUCAAGAGUCAGACUGUUUCUCUACUUACCUCCAAUACCAUCAUAAUCUUAAGUAUCGUUGUGCUAGAAGGCACUGCAAUAUUAAUUAAAAAUACGUCUAAUUAUUUACCCUAGUUGGUUCAUACAAACCUCUAUAGUAUAAUCAGUGGACUCCCUUAAGGGGUUUCACGGUAUUUCGGAGUGAAAUAGGAAGGUUUGUUACUGACUUGCACUUGGUUCAUGAGUGUAAUUAAGUAUAACCUACAAUUCACCUUUAGGUCACUAGAUCAAAUAUAACUUAUCUGGGCAAUGUCCAAAGGUAUGAGCUGAUGUUGACCGAGUGCUGGCGGCGUACAUAAAUGAAUAGAACUUUUAAUUUACCUCCAGGCGUCUCAGAGAACAUUCCGGGUGUUUCCAAGAGACAGAGGGAAAGCAGAGGGCGGCCAAAUAAGGUCAUUCAUUUUAGACAGUCCCCAAGACAAAGCACCAUGAGCCAAGCUCGGAAACUGCUCAGAUGGCUGAAGGUGUUUGGUGACAACCUCUUCCCACUUCUGGCCUUAGCGCUAACCUAAAGUUAGUGGCAGAGAAAUCUUUCUAGCUGUUAGAGGUGCUGUGUGGAGACUGCUUGCUGGGUGUGCCCGGGGCUGAAUUAUCAGGGGAGAUUGCCCUCUGCAAGCAAAGCCGUGAAGCGUUUCCAGGCCCUGCAGAGUGGUCAUAUCCUUCUUUAAAAUCAUCUGUCCUUGGGCUUAUCUAGGGUAAUAAAGGAGAAUUUUCUCUCUGAGAGAGACUCAAAGGAUGCAUUGGUCUCCCCGGCAAAUACACUUUAGAAAGAGUGACAGUAGCAAAACUGGCCUAAAGGUGUAAAAUACCCUCCACUCCUAACUUAAAAUGUAAGAUAGUGUCUGAAAAGCCCUGCUCAACCUGAAAUGCCGAGGUGGCUGGACUGAAAAGACCAGAAGAGCACGUUGCAACCCAGCAGGGUGAUAAAAGAGAGUUUGGGAAAUGGCACACAGAAGUAAAAGUAAAAUAAUGUUUGGAUCAUUAGAACUUAGAGUGGCUGAACUAUAUAUUUAUUAAGAGAUACUGUGGGAAGUGAGAAGAGAAAGGUUGGGGCUAGACAGAGAAGGCUCUGAGUAUCCUGAAUGCUCCUUUGAAAAGUAGAAAGCCAGUGGUGAAGUGUUACCUACGCAGGCCGCUCAUUAGGAAGGUCUCAGUUCACCCAGAACUGAGUGGAAGUAGGGAUUUGAUAUGACAUUCCUACUGGAAUCCAACCUGCACUUUUGGCUAAGUUAAGAAUUCGGAGUGGCCAUGGACUAAUUCUGUUUCAUAAUUCGACAGGUGUUAGUAGUCGGGAGGUUAAAUCGAGAUGCUGAAGGUACGUGAGGAAGACAGUAGAUGAUGCCUCCCUUGGGGUGACCUGUGAGUAGGAAAAAAGGGUGAGGCAAGCAGGGCUGUGGCUUUGGGUUUCUGAGAAGUGACAGAAAGGAUGGCGGCCAGCUGAAAGCUCUGAUUCACAGGAACACGAGAGGUCACAUGCAAUAUAAAGUCAAACAGGGCUCCAUAUACAGUUGCAAGAUUUUAUUUUAUAACGUGUUAAUCUUGAUAUUGGGAGACUGGACCGGAUGUGGAUGGAAUCCACUAGAAAGCGUUCUAAAACACAUCACAGCUGUUCUGUGGGUAAGCCGUCCGUCCAUCCAUUCACUCAGAAAUAUUUGUUGAGCUCCUACUAUGUGCUAGUUACUGGGACAGGCAAAAGCAGACUGGCCCCUGUCCCUAAGGAGCUUACAGUCACAUGAAGUGCCCCAGGGGGCAGCCCCUGCUGUAGGCCCUGGGCAUGAGAGCAAAGGGAGCAGGUAUGAGGUGUGGGGGGACAGGGCUGGACAUUGGCCAGUUCAUGCAGGGCCUUGUAGGCCAGGGGAAACAUUUUAUUUUCAAUAUUAAAAAAGGAGAACCCAUUGAAGACCUUUAAGUAGGGAAAUGAUAUGUUCAAUCAUGUUAACUUCUACCUUUUUUGUUUUUUUUUCUCCCAGCAUCGUUAUAGAGUUUUCUGGAUGCUCGGUUUCUGCUGCUGCUCACAUAGAUGGGGUUUUCUAACAACCUCAAAGGAUUGACUAGGAUUGAUCAGAGCUGUUGUGACGAUGAACUGGAGAAUUGGAAAGGAAUGAAGAGACACUUUUUUUCAGUUGCACUCGGAACUGUGGUACCUUGCAGCUGGAUCACACAGUAGCUCUCAUUAUUGGUCUGGGUGUGACACUUGCCUUUCCUGCCAGAAAAAUCUUUUCGAACAAUUGGUCAUGGUAUUUCCCUGUCUAGAGCCCCCACAGGUCUCCAGGGCUAGAACUGCAGAGCUGGUGAGCAGCACGACCCAGGCCCUCCACAGAGUGGUUCCUGUCCUCUGUGCUACUGCCCAUGAAUCUUGCACCACAUCAUUUCUCAAACUGGUUCCACAGAAUGCUAAGUUAAUGCGAUGUUAACAAGUGCUCUGCAAAACGAAGGGUUGGGGGAUCCACUAGUCAAAUAAAUGAGUAAAACACACACAAAGUAUAAUAUCACUACUCUUCUUGGACUCAUAAUGUAGUUAACCCACAUAGUGGCUCUGAGAAGUCCUGCAAAAAUGUGCUUUCCCUAACACUUCCCAAGCAUGAGCCAUGGCAAACACUUUUCUGCACACAACAACUAUGGUCACAUUGUUGAACAGUUUGGGAAACACUGCCUUAGCUAAGUCUCUCAAUUUUACCAGAUUAUUUGACCCCAAAUGUACCUUUUGAACUUCUCUCCCUAUAGUUUUCUUUAUGUGGUUUCUCCCUUUGGGAAAAAUUGUCAUUAUCCUCUCUAACUUUCCAAGCUUAUCCAACUCAGAUGUUGCCUCCUUCUUGAAGCCCACUCUGAUUGACAUUGCUUUCUCAGAUUGACAUUUCUUUUCUCCUAACUUUUUAGCUGGACUAUUUACUAUUUCAUAUUGUUCUUUUCACUAUUUACAUUUAUAAUGUCAUAAUGCCAUCACCUAAACAGUGAUAAAAUUAGCUUAUAUGUCUCUUGAAGGGAAACAUAGAAUAUGUCCCAUAUAAUGAUGAUUCUAAUUUUCAUGUUGAAGGAACAAGAGCUUUGUACUAAGACAAAUAGUUAUUUCAGUCACAUUUUGGCUGACCAGCUUCAUGACUUUGGGCAAGUUACCCAACCUCGCUAAAACUCAGUUUUCUCAUCUGUAAACUAGGGAUAAUAUUAAUAAACUAACCACCUGUUAGAGGUGUCAUGAAGAUUAGAUUAGACUAUAUGCAGUGUCUGACAUAUUUCACGUCAGUUGCUAUUAUAAUUAUCACAUCUGUUACUAUAAUAAUACUACUACAAAAUCUCUCUUUUUUGUUUGGUAACUGUACAUGCCCAAUGUUCUGGGCAAUCAAAAUUUCUUGGUAUUUUGGCAUCCAAAAAGGCUAUCUCUCUCUUGCAAAGACAGAGAGAGGUAUGCUGGAUAUAUCCUUUGUCUGGCAAGAAAUGGUCUUCCUCUCAGAGACAGGGAGCCUAUUGCUGUGCCUGCCAUGCUUCCUGGACUUUCUGGUUCAUCCAGAUUGUAGUAGUCAAUUUCAAGAGCAAACAAGGAAUUAGUCCAAUGCAUCCUGAUUUCUGGUGAGAUUUGAAUGCGGUGUCUUGUGUGAAGAGGCACUUGGUCCCUGCUUGUGGCUGGCUUGUCUGCCAGGUCUGCAUGACCUGGAUAUUGGCUGUAAGUCAGUGGCUGGGCAGACUCAGCACUUUAGUUGCUUUAGGUUAGUUUUCACUUGGCUCCAUGUGAUUGUCUCUGCUAGGAUAGUUCAGCAAAAUGAAAUGUCAGGGGUCCUCUUAUAUGUUAUAUAAUAAAUAUAUAUGAAGUAAGAAAAAAAGGAUUUCUAUUUAUUUACUAAAUGUUUAUUGAGUGCCUACUAUGUACCAGGCACAGUUCCAGUCGUUAUACAAUAGUAAACAAAAGACAGAAGUCUUUAUUGUAGUGGAGCUUAAUUAUGAUGGGAGAAGACAGAAAUCAAACAAGGAAGUGAACGAAUAUGUAAUACACCAAGUGGCAUAUUAGGUGCUAUGAGACAAUUAAAGCAGAGUAUAGGAGAGAGAGAAUUGAGAAGGUCAUUUGUUGCGAUGACAUUUGAGCAAAGAUGUGAGGGGGAAUAUUGGAAGUGUGUAGGCUAAGGAACUCUCAAAAGGAAAAGCACCAUGUCACCUAAUAGGCAAGAGAAGGAAGCCAAGAUAAAGGAAGAGUGGCUUGAAGCUUGCUCAAGAAGCAUGCCGGGUUUUUCGGCCAAGUCAACAAGUAUUUUAUCUGUAAAAGACUUGAGAAGCCAUUGGUGGCUUUGAAGGAAAGGCACUACAUUUGUGUUUUUAAAAGAUCAUUCUGCGACACAAGACAUGGAAAAUGGGCCC